GUGUAAAAUGCCAUAGAACCCACUUAGAUUGAAUUCUACACAAUCUUUACUGAUAUACAAGUAAUAAUAUAUAUAUAUAUAUUCACACUAUGAUAAUAAAUAAAAUAUUAUAUAUUCAUUUGUGAUGGACGCGUCUACCAGCGCAAGGACAAGUUGCCAGAAUUCUUCAUUCUAGCGAGAAUUGCAUACGAUGUGUAAAUGCAAAGAUUGUCGAUCAAAUAAUGAACAUUUUCAAUAUUCGUUUACAUGGCAUUUUAUUUACUAAUGAAGCA
rnacentral:lncRNA from 1 species